AGUACAUGGGGUACAAUGUCUACACUUACACCAACUAAGAGUUUGAAGGCGCUAAGCAUUUGCUUUCUCAAAUUCAGCAUGUAUUUCAUCCUCCGACGAGGACAAGUCGCUCUGCUCACUCUCCUGUUCGG